GACGAACGCUGGCGGCGUGGAUUAGGCAUGCAAGUCGAACGGUAUCAUCCUUUCGGGGGGUGAGAGAGUGGCGAACUGGUGAGUAACACGUAGGUUAUCUACCCUCAAGACGGGGACAACCCAGGGAAACUUGGGCUAAUACCGGAUGUGAGCAACUUUUUAGUUGUUUGAAAGGUGGCGUAAGCUGUCGCUUGGGGAUGAGCCUGCGUCCUAUUAGUUAGUUGGUGAGGUAACGGCUCACCUAGGCAAUGAUAGGUAGGCGGCCUUAACGGGUGGUCGCCCACACUGGGAUUGAGAUACGGCCCAGACUCCUACGGGAGGCAGCAGUCGAGAAUAGUCUACAAUGGUCGGAAGACUGAUAGUGCGACGCCGCGUGAACGAUGAAUCCCUUCGGGGUUAAAGUUCUUUUAUAUGUGAGCAGUGCUUCUUAUAUUAACAGUAUGGGGAAGAGAUAUUAGCAUAUGAAUAAGCAACGGCUAACUCCGUGCCAGCAGCCGACGGUAAACCGA
rnacentral:rRNA from 1 species